rnacentral:rRNA from 1 species
UAACGAAUCUUCCGCAAUGCGCGAAAGCGUGACGGAGCAAUGCCGCGUGUGGGAUGAAGCGGUUACGCCGUGUAAACCACUGUCAGGGUCUAGGAAGAACUGACCAGACCCAGAGGAAGGGCCGGCUAAUCUCGUGCCAGCAGCCGCGGUAAUACGAGAGGCCCAAGCGUUAGGCGGAAUCACUGGGCUUAAAGGGUGCGUAGGCGGACAUGUAAGCAUUGUGUGAAAUCCCUCGGCUCAACCGGGGAACUGCACAGUGAACUGCAUGUCUUGAGGCAGGUAGGGGCGAUCGGAACGUUCGGUGGAGCGGUGAAAUGCGUAGAUAUCGAACGGAACGCCAAGAGUGAAGACAGAUCGCUGGGCCUGACCUGACGCUGAGGCACGAAAGCGUGGGGAGCAAACAGGAUUAGAUACCCCCGUAGUCC